rnacentral:rRNA from 1 species
GUGGGGAAUCUUGCGCAAUGGGCGAAAGCCUGACGCAGCCAUGCCGCGUGAAUGAUGAAGGUCUUAGGAUUGUAAAAUUCUUUCACCGGGGACGAUAAUGACGGUACCCUCAGAAAAAGCCACGGCUAACUACGUGCCAGCAGCCGCGGUAAUACGUAGGUGGCGAGCGUUACUCGGAAUUACUAGGCGUAAAGCGUAUGUAGGCGGUUGUAUAAGUCUAUGGUGAAAUUUCCUGGCUCAACUGGGAAGGGACAUAGAUACUGUAUGGCUUGAGUGUUGGAGGGGGAGACGGAAUUCCUGGUGUAGCGGUGAAAUGCGUAGAUAUCAGGAGGAACACCGAUGGCGAAAGCAGUCUCCUGGCCAAAUACUGACGCUGAGGUACGAAAGCUAGGGUAGCAAACAGGAUUAGAUACCCUGGUAGUCC